GGACUGCUUCUCUGGGUGCCCAGCAGCUGCAAGCACUGGACAUCCCUUUAGUCUUUGCUCCAUCAGAUUCCUUAUGGCUUGCAGGAUGGAGAAAAGAAAGAUUUAAAGAGGAGUACACGAGGUCAUUUCCACAGACCUGUGUCAGCCAGGACUGAAUGUAAAUCUCACUGUCUGAAGAUAAAUGGACUCAGGAAUCACUUCAGUCAGUUCAUGUCAUUCCAGGCACCAAGAGAAGGGCCGUCCCAGCUCACCCGGCCGAGCAGCGCCUGUUGGCACUCGGAGGGACCCUGCAGGGCUCAGCCUCCCAGCUUAGAGACGCUCGGAGAUCCGCGAUCUGAACACUGUAGCUUUGUCUGAAAGUGAAACCAAGCAGCCUACAAACAACGCUUCUAUCAGCGGCGCCCACGGAGGGUACAAAAAAAA